AAGCCCUUCUUCCAUCCCUCGCUCGACCAUUUUUUUCCCUCCCUCUUCGCUUCUCGAUCUUUCUCCCCUCUCUAUAAAAGUUCGAAUUUUCUCUCCUUUGUACUCUGCCAAUCCCUCGAUGUCUUCUUCAUUCUUCUUCCAAUCUUCUCUCAUUUCUCCUCCAAUCCUGCCUUUGGAUUGGAUUUCGUCUACUUCGAGGAUUCCAGGGCCGCAGAACUCCCCUAUUUCGAGCGUUUCGGGAACCCUAACCCGCACCUAGCCCUCCCUAGACAGGAAACAAGUCGGCUGCCGCCGCAGAAUCGGAGGGGCAGCAGAACGGCGCCCUCGGGGGGGGUAGAGAAACGAAUAAGUCUGCUGUUUCGUUUCUUUCUUUGAUGCGUGGGUUUGAGCUUGAUUUGAACUCGCGGAAACCCUAAACCGAACUUCGGUUUUGAUCUUUGGAGCAGGAACGGGUAGAUUGGGGCUGUUGAUAGGAGCAAGGCGGAGGAAGAAUUGCGAGGUUGAUCUUCUCUCUGCAAGAGGUUAUAAUAUAAUAACUUAGCUAUCAUUUCAAAAAUUAGUAGCUGCUGUUUGUGGAUGUGACUUGGUGUAGAUGGCUGACCAUCAAAGCACAAAACCAUCUGGCUCUGGGGCUGGUGCAUACUCAAUCAAUCUUGAGAAUUUCAGCAAGCGUCUGAAGGGGUUUUAUACACAGUGGAAGGAGCACAGAACUGAUCUGUGGGGCUCUGCUGAUGCUAUUACCAUUGCAACCCCCCCUCCUUCUGAAGAUCUUCGGUAUCUGAAGUCAUCAUCAUUGAAUAUCUGGUUGCUUGGAUACGAGUUCCCAGAGACAAUCAUGGUUUUCAUGAGCAAGCAGAUCCACUUCCUGUGUAGUCAGAAGAAAGCGACCCUGCUUGAAACCCUUAAGAAGUCAGCAAAGGAGGCUGUUGGCACUGAUGUUGUGAUACAUGUCAAGGUGAAGAAUGAUGAUGGGACUAUCUUGAUGGAUGAGAUAUUACGUGCUGUUCGUGCUCAGUCCAAAUCUGGUAGUCCCAUUGUUGGAUACAUUGCAAAAGAGGCACCCGAAGGGAAGCUUCUCGAAACAUGGUCUGAGAAACUGGGAGGCUCAACAUUACAGCUCACUGAUGUAACACCCGGUUUCUCGGGAUUGUUUGCUGUCAAAGAUGCCAUUGAGCUCAUUUGUGUCAGGAAAGCUGCAUAUCUAACUUCAUCGGUGAUGAAGAAUUUUGUGGUCCCAAAGCUUGAGAAGGCUAUUGAUGAAGAGAAGAAGGUCUCUCAUUCUUCAAUGAUGGAUGAUACAGAAAAGGUGAUACUUGAUCCAUCUAAGAUCAAAGUCAAGCUGAAGGGAGAAAAUGUUGAUAUAUGCUAUCCUCCUAUAUUUCAGAGUGGGGGUAAGUUUGAUCUCAGGCCAAGUGCAUCAAGUAAUGAUGACAAUCUGUACUAUGACUCGACAAGUGUGAUCAUAUGUGCAAUUGGGUCACGUUUCAACAGUUAUUGCUCAAAUAUCGCCAGAACAUUUUUGAUUGAUGCUACUGCAACUCAGAGUAAGGCAUAUGAGGCUCUCCUUAAGGCUCAUGAUGCUGCAAUAGCUGCUUUGAAGCCUGGUAAUAAAGUUAGUGCUGCUUACCUAGCUGCAGUAGCCGUGGUUGAGAAAGAAGCACCAGAGCUCCUUCCAAAUCUGACUAAGUCAGCUGGAACAGGAAUUGGCCUUGAGUUCCGUGAAUCCGGGUUUAGCUUAAAUUCAAAAACUGAUCGGCCACUGAAGGCAGGCAUGGUUUUUAACGUCUCACUUGGUUUUCAGAACCUCCAAGCUGAGACUAACAAUCCGAAGACUGAGACAUUCUCUCUUUUGCUGGCUGAUACAGUUAUUGUUAGUGAAAAGUCCCCCGAAGUCUUGACAGCCGGCUGCUCCAAGGCAGUUAAGGAUGUUGCUUACUCAUUUAAUGAGGAAGAGGAAGAAGAAGAGCCUCCCACAGCCAGGCCUCCUGUUAAUGGCACUGAUCUCUUUUCAUCCAAAGCAACACUGAGGUCAGACAACCAGGAGAUGUCGAAGGAAGAGCUGCGGAGACAGCAUCAGGCAGAACUUGCUCGCCAGAAGAAUGAAGAGACUGCCAGGAGGCUAGCUGGUGGUGGCUCUGCAACUGCAGAUGGGCGAGGUCCUGUAAGAACUUCAACUGACCUGAUUGCCUACAAGAACGUCAAUGAUAUACCCUACUCAAAGGAGCUGGUGAUACAAGUGGACCAGAAGAAUGAAGCUAUUCUUUUGCCAAUAUAUGGAAGCAUGGUUCCCUUCCAUGUCUCUACUGUGAAGAGUGUGACUUCACAUCAAGACAACCGGACCUGCACGAUUCGUAUAAUAUUCAAUGUGCCUGGUACACCUUUUAACCCCCAUGAUGCAAACUCCCUUAAAUUUCAAGGUGCUAUCUAUUUGAAGGAGAUCACUUUCCGUUCCAAGGAUCUGAGACAUAGCAGUGAAGCGGUACAACUGAUCAAGAUCCUUAGAAGGCAAGUUGCAUCUAGGGAAUCAGAGAGAGCUGAGAGGGCCACUUUGGUUACUCAGGAGAAACUACAGCUUUCUGGCAAUAGGAUGAAACCAAUCAGGUUACCUGACUUGUGGAUACGCCCACUGUUUGGUGGGCGUGGAAGAAAGCAACCUGGUACUUUAGAGGCUCAUGUCAAUGGGUUCCGGUAUUCGACCUCCAGACCUGAUGAGAGAGUAGAUAUUAUGUAUGGAAACAUUAAGCAUGCCUUCUUCCAGCCUGCAGAGAGAGAAAUGAUUACACUUUUGCACUUUCAUCUGCACAAUCACAUAAUGGUGGGCAAUAAGAAGACUAAGGAUGUCCAAUUUUAUGUUGAGGUGAUGGAUGUUGUGCAGACAUUGGGUGGUGGAAGGAGAUCAGCCCUCGAUCCAGAUGAGAUAGAGGAAGAGCAGCGUGAGAGGGAAAGAAAAAACAGAAUAAACAUGGAUUUUCAGAACUUUGUCAACAAGGUACAUGAACUUUGGACACAGCCACAACUCAAAGAUCUUGAUCUGGAGUUUGAUAUGCCUUUGAGGGAGCUUGGUUUUCAUGGAGUUCCUCACAAGGCUUCAGCUUUCAUUGUUCCAACUUCGAGCUGUUUGGUUGAACUUGUCGAGACACCAUUUCUGGUAGUUACUUUGAGUGAGAUUGAAAUUGUUAAUCUGGAAAGGGUGGGGCUUGGCCAGAAGAACUUUGACAUGACCAUUGUAUUCAAAGACUUCAAGAAAGAUGUACUUCGCAUAGAUUCUAUUCCAUCCGCAUCUCUAGAUGGAAUCAAAGAAUGGCUCGACACUACUGAUCUGAAGUAUUAUGAGAGCAGGUUGAACUUAAAUUGGCGCCCAAUCCUGAAAACAAUUAUGGAGGACCCUCAGAAGUUUAUUGAAGAUGGUGGAUGGGAGUUCCUAAACUUGGAGGCAAGUGACUCAGAAUCCGAUAAUACUGAGGAAUCAGACCAAGGGUAUGAGCCCUCUGAUAUGGAGUCAGAAUCUCCUGAUGAUGAUGAUAAGGACAGCGAGUCACUGGUGGAGUCAGAUGAAGAUGAAGAGGAAGAUUCAGAAGAGGACUUCGAAGAGGAGAAGGGGAAGACUUGGGAGGAGCUGGAGCGGGAGGCAAGUAAUGCCGACAGGGAGAAGGGUGAUGAGUCGGACAGUGAAGAUGAGAGGAGGAGAAGGAAGGCAAAAGCCCUUGCUAAGUCUCGUGUUCCAGAUUUAAGAAAGGGCAUUCCUUUGAAGAGGCCAAAGUUUAGGUGAAGCACCUGCCAUUGUACAGAACUGAAGUUAAAAAAAUCGAAUAGCCAGCAUGGAUUUCUGAAUAUGGCAUUAACAUCAGUACCUAAGUUGGUAAAUCGACCAAUUUCAUCGAGAGGAUGAAGAAUUAAAGACAAAAGGGAAAAGAUAUAGAAGGAAAACAGUAAAGGAAAAAGCAUUCAACCCCAGAACUUCCACAAGCAACCAGCAUGAUCUCUAAACCAAGGGAUCUUAUAAAUUUUCAUUGAACGAAACACCUUUUUUUUAUGAAUUGUAACUUGCAAUUACAAAGAUAAUGUAAAGUCGCAAAAUAUGAUGUCUUUUGUGUAUAUUGAGAUGCACCUGUAGUCUAGAUUACAGAACAUGCCAAAGGUGUGACGGAUUGGAAGGAGUUGGCUUGAAUUGUUAGGCCUAUCUUUGGUAGAAGCGAUGGUCCAGUCAGUAUGAUCUUUUUUUAAUUUUAUUAGGUGCAGGGAGAUAUUUCUAGAUAUAUUUUAUGGAUACUUGGAACUGUAAUGGGUUAACCAUGCUUUUGGCAUAUAAACUUGAGUCUGGGCUUGCAGAUGAGUGGCAACUUGUUGCAUUGUGAUGUUUUCUUUUGUAUGUUUCUAUAAUAGUUUGCUUUGAAAGUCAUAUCUUUUGACAUCAUUCAACUUGAUUUUAGUAGCAAAUUCACUUGACCCUACUAAACCACGCAUAACUUUAAUGUUUCUUAAAAUAAUUGGAUACAAU